GUUUCUCUUUAAAAAAACUGAGGGCCUUUUGCCCUCUCUCCCUCUCUCUUUGCUUCAGUCGAUCGGGCUAUCUCACCGUCCACCGUAUCGCCACUAUUUUCGGUGCCCGGCGACGCGCAACCAUGGGUAUUUAAACCCCGCUUGGGAGCCCUUCGAAGGCCAAGCACCUCGACGUCCUUUGGGAGCCAAGAGAGAAACUCGUGGCCCUCUCCUUCGAACCCAAUCGCCAUGAUGGAGAAGGUUCUUCGGCGACGCGUCUGUGGUUUCAAGCUUUGAGGGGUGUCAGAUGCAUGGAGGAGAGGGGCAUGCGUGAGGCAUGCGACGGUGGUAGUGCGCAAGGUGGCCAAUGGUUGGCCUAGAGGUUCGGCAGCACACUUGGGGGCUGAGCUACGGCUGAAGGUUGAUUGCUGAAAAAUUUUAAGAUAGUUGGACUAGGGUUUUGAAUUGGGCUUGGGUAUUGGGUUAAUUUGUAAUGGGUUUUUUUUUUUUUGUGUGUGUGUGUGUGUGUUUAGGUUGGUAAUUGAGUCUUAAUUGGGUAUUAGGUUUAUUAUUUAUUGGACUGUUUUUGUUGUUUUUUUUGUGAUUUGGGCUCGGGCUAAUUAGUUUUAUUAUAUCGGGCCCGGGCAAAAUUGGGCCCGUACAAGUAUAAUAUUUAUAAUGAUUAAUUUGGUUAAAA